GCCGGUGUGGUGGUGGAUACCUGUAAUCCCAACUACUUGUGAGGCUGAGGCAGGAGGAUUGCAAGUUUGAGGCCAGCCUGGGCAAUUUAGCAAGACCUUGUUUCAA
rnacentral:sRNA from 1 species